CAAAGUUUCAUCUAAUACAACUGGCACUGUUAACCAUUGUUAUUCAUUGUUGAACAUUGUUGUAAUGUUUAUUAUAAUUAUUCGUAUUGUAUCUAACGGUUUUUAAGCAAAAUUGUAAAGGGCUAACGGGAACAACAAUAAUAUCUGAAAAAGGUAUAGGCAUUGCACCAGAUCACACCAGGGUGCUAUCUUGGGGAUCUCACACACAAACACUACUGCCUUCAAUUAUCCAAGAUAACGUAUUGUCCAUAACCCCAAGACUUAAUUUCCCGAACUGCAUACGAAAGCAACCCACCUAUUGCGACUAACGAAGACAUCGCUACCCACUAUCCACAGUCUAAGAACCCACGAAAGUAACACACAUAUCAGUCUUACAAAUCCUAACAAAUAAAUAUAGAAACAAUACUUUUCAACCCCCUACCUUCCUACCAAACCCCCAGCCAUGACUACCAUAAACAUACUCACACAAAACGCUAGGGUUUAACCCCUUAAGGACAUAUGACAUGUGUGACAUGUCAUGAUUCCCUUUUAUUCCAGAAGUUUGGUCCUUAAGGGGUUAAACACCCCUGAAAAAAGAUAUAUGGCUGUAACAGACUUCCGCAGAAAUAACGCAGACAUAGUCUUCAUCCAAGAGACUCACUUUUGCAAAGACACAGCCCCCAAGUUACAAAACAGAGGCUAUCCAAAAGGCUUUUUCGGACACUACGCGGCCUCCAAAUCACGAGGGGUAGCAAUAUUAAUUGGGAAACAUGCACAAUUCACAUAGCAAGACCAACACUCGGAAGAUUCAGGAAGAUUUGUAUUCGUUAAAGGUAAAAUUUGGCAAACAUCUAUUUACCUAAUAGAAAGCAAAACCUGACCUUAAAGAAAAUUUUAUAUAAGCUCUCCACCUUCUAGGAACGCAUAUUAUUAGUGGGAGGGGACAUCAACAUAUUCCUAGAUGGGGACCUAGAUUCUACUGCAAAGCCACAGCACCAUAUGUCACAACCCCGAAAACAAAUCAGUAAAACUCUCCACGAUGCCCAACUAUACGACAGCUGGAGAACUAUUCACCCCACAGGCAAAGAUUUUUCAUUCUUGUCACCUCCCGCAGGUACAUACUCCCGCAUCGACACCCUCUUCCUCCAACACAGAUAUCUACCCCUAAUCAAAUCAGCUACAUACGGUCUAAGCACAUGGUCGGACCAUGCACCCAUGACACUGGCCCUGACCAUCCUGACCUUGCCCAACUGUCUUAAUCCUCAACAAUGCAGAACUCAUUACACAACUUAGAGACAAGGCUACCACUUACUUCAAGGAGAACACACGACUAGACACCUCCCCUGCUACUGUCUGGGAAGCUCAUAAAGCGGUUAUGAGAGGUGAGUUGAUUCGUAUCGCUUCCUCUUUAAAACGUAAGAGAGCUCAGAAUUACUCAGCUCACACAAGAAAUAAGAGAACUGGAACAUAAACACCAUCAAAACGACACCCCACUAGAUGUUUAUAAAACACUACUAACAAAAAUAUCAGAACUAUCUACACUACUAUUACUAUAUGCUAAACGUAACUUGAAACUGACAAAACACACUUACUACAUGAAGGGAGUGAAGGCAGGAAAACUCCUAGCACAGGCUCUCUGUCAAGAUAAACAAACCACAUUUAUCUCGGAGAUCAAACAAGACAACGGCACCACAACACAACAAAUGCCAGACAUCAUAAAGGCGUUUCAUAAAUUCUACACAAACCUCUAUAAUCUCACACAAACACACCCAGCCACAGAAGACAUCCUGAACUUCAUUAGACCUAGAAUCAAAAACACUAUCCCACAAGUUGAAUUUUGAAAAGUUGAAUUUCUUGACUAACCCAUCACAAUAGAUGAAUUCAUAAACACAGUCAAGAAACUCCCAACAGGACCUAAUGGCUAUACAGGCAAUGUUGACAAUAUUGUAAACUGCUAUCUCAAACAUUAGCACAAUCCUUCACUGAGGCGUUUAACACACAAAAACUCACAUCUACCAUACCCAAAUCUGCAUUGGAAGCAACAAUCACCCUUAUCCCCAAACCAGGCAAAGAUCCCUCAAUUUGUGGGAAUUACAGGCCAAUUUCGCUCAGAAAUAUUGACCUGAAAAUCCUGGCAAAAAUAAUGGCCACAAGAUUAAAACCCUUCCUACCAAAUCUCAUCCACCAAGACCAAGCAGGAUUCGUACCAGGAAGGGAAGCUAAACACAACACAACAAAAAUCCGGUUAUUUAGUAAUUGAUGCCGAAAAGGCAUUUGAUAGAGUCAACUGGUCGCUACUCACUCACACAAUGCGAUUUCUGGGCUUUGGACCAAGAUGGCAGGAGUGGCUGGCAGCCAUCUACUCGCCGCCCACAGCCCGACUCUGCAAAAACAGCCAGCUUUCGCACCCAGUAACCAUCACAAAUGUAACGAGACAGGGAUGCCCACUGUCGCCGCUCUUGUUUAUAUUAGUGCUCGAACCAUUCCUACAAGGAGUCAGGGACAAUAAACUCAUCAAUCUCACAAUCAACAAUCACGAAUAUAAAGUUACAGCAUUUUCAGAUGAUCUCCUCUUUACCAUAUCCAACCCACUAUCCACAAUACCAACCAUCUUGUCGGAAAUGGAUCUAUACAGCAAGGUCUCAAAUUUCCAAGCUAACUUGACUAAGUGCGACCUGCUUCCCAUACACACUUCGAGACCGCUAGACACCCAAUUACGGGAGAGGUUCCACUUCUCCUGGGCAUCCAAAUCUCGUAAGUACCUAGGAGUCCAACUAAUCUAAAUCAACUGUACGACCUAAACUUUCCCCAACUUCUGACCACCAUUACCAGAGACUGGCUGGCAGAGGCCCUGUUUUGGAUGGUUCUGUAGAGUCAACAUUAUAAAAAUGAAUAUACUUCCCCGCAUAUUAUAUAUUCUCCAGACACUUCCCAUUACAAUACCAAACAGAUUCUUUGCAAUGGCCAAAUCCAUACUUUAUCAACUUAAUUUGGUCUAACACUUACCCAAGGAUAGCCCGCUCUACACUAGUCAAAAGCAGAGACAAAGGAGGACUAAACCUACCUGAUAUUGAAACAUACCACAAAGCAACACAUCUCACUAGAAUCUAUGAAUGGACACACCCCUUCCCAACGCAACAAUGGGUAAUAUUAGAAAACACAUUCUCAGAGACUCCCUUAAGUGUACGCCCCUGGCUAAUAUCAAACCAAACACAAUGACACCACCCGGACACACACACCCGAGUAUUAAAGCUACACUCCAUGUGUGGCACAAACUUUCAAGGUCAACAAAGAUCUCACCCCACCCCUCCCCCUCUACGCCCUCACACAUAACCCCAGCUUCCAAAGGGGACAAUCAGGGAAAACGUACAGCAUAUACCAUAAAGACAAAGUGCUGCAACUAAAACAUAUGGUCGAUGACAACAAAUUGAAAAGCCCAAAUCAUACCUAAUGCUGCUCCCACAGGCAACCAACAACUGCACUUCUAUCAAACAGUACACUUCAUCUAAAGUCUAGACCUCCUACCAAAAGGUAUGCGAACCUUCACCUCCUUUGAACAACUGUGUACUACCCAUACACUCACACAAAAGAUUCUAUCCACCAUGUAUAAAUUAAUUAAUUAAUUAGAGAGGCACAAGACUCAGAAUUACCACACUGUACUAUGAAAUGGGUUGAAGAACUACAGAUAGACAUCACACAACAAGAAUGGUGGUCUAUCCUUCAGACAGCUCACAAAUCACCAUCCUCUAUCAUAGCUCAGGAAAGGAACUAUAAGCGCAUCACUCGUUUGCAUUAUAUGCCAGCACAAAUACAAAAAAUACACAACACGACCACAGAUAAAUGUUGGAGAUGCCAACGCACGGGAGCUCACCAUUCUCAUAUAUGGUGGCAAUGCCCAUCUUUAGCUAAAUGAUAAUAGAUGAGAAUUAAUUAGAGAAGCACAAGACUCAGAAUUACCACACUGUACUAUGAAAUGGGUUGAAGAACUACAGAUAGACAUCACACAACAAGAAUGGUGGUCUAUCCUUCAGACAGCUCACAAAUCACCAUCCUCUAUUAUAGCUCAGGAAAGCAACUAUAAGCUCAUCACUCGUUUGCAUUAUAUGCCAGCACAAAUACAAAAAAUACACAACACGACCACAGAUAAGUGUUGGAGAUGCCAACGCACGGGAGCUCACCAUUCUCAUAUAUGGUGGCAAUGCCCAUCUUUAGCUAAAUGAUAAUAGAUGAGAAUUCAUGCCCUCUUCCAAAUAAUCAACAGUAAAAUUACUUUUACUCCACAACUCUAUAUUUUCCUAAUGCCCCCUCAAGGCUUAUGAAGAGACAAAACAAUUAUUUUCAACCACUUAGUUUCAGCAGCCACACAACUGAUACCCAAAUAUCAGAUCCCAUCCAUUAGAGAGUGGAUAGGAAGAGUAGAGGACAUUAAACAAAUUACGUAUGCCAGAAACAGGAAUAUCUAGGUAUUUUCCAAAAUAUGGACACCCUGGGUAAAUUUCUUAAAUUCAGACACAAACCACAAAUACUAAUCCAGAUCCUUCUCAGACAGUUCCAGUUUGACAUAACUCACCAACUGGUCUAAAUUACCCUUGUUCCAACGGAACCACUUGUUUCACAAUGUAGAAACCAUAAUUUACGUAUGCCUUACCUAACUUACUAUCUAACUUACUAGUAUCUACUUUCACUAACUCAUACCUCUGCUAUACCAAACUAUGCACAGCUUACACCUUUAUAAAUUAUGUAUAAUUUAACGAUGCCGUGUGACAACUUUGUAACUCUACAUUGCUCUUUAUCCAUAUUGUAUUCAUGUAUCAAUUUUGUACCGUUACAAUGCGUUUGAUUCCCAUUGUAUUCAUGUAACUUCUUAUGCAUACUUAAGAGAAAAUAAAAAAAACUUUGAAAUAAAAAA